AUUGAACGCUGGCGGCAGGCCUAACACAUGCAAGUCGAACGAGACGCGGACGGGUGAGUAAUGUCUGGGAAACUGCCUGAUGGAGGAGGUUCACUACUGGACACGGUUGCUAAUACCGCAUACAAGAGGAUGGGCCCAGAUGGCAUGAGCGGGUGGGUGGGGUAACGGCGCACCAAGGCGACGAUCCCGAGCGGGUCUGAGAGGAUGACCAGCCACACUGGAACUGAGACACGGUCCAGACUCCUACGGGAGGCAGCAGUGGGGAAUAUUGAACAAUGGGCGCAAGCCUGAUGCAGCCAUGCCGCGUGUAUGAAGAAGGCCUUCGGGUUGUAAAGUACUUUCAGCUGGGAGGCGUUACCCGCAGAAGAAGCACCGGCUAACUCCGUGCCAGCAGCCGCGGUAAUUC
rnacentral:rRNA from 1 species